CAGGCAGGGGGGUUGGAAAGCUGUUGCUGUGAAUCCCUCUCAGUACAUGGGGAGCGAGGAGGGCGGAUGGAGGUUCGAUCCCCAGCUGCAAUGAUCCCUUUAAAAGGAGUGUGGCCGCUUCCUUCCUGAGCCACGUUUCUGGUGGGCGCAUGUUAAUCCGGAGUCACUGCAAGGCAGAACAGGGAGUGACUCCAGAUUAACAUGGGGGCAGAUAAGAUCAGGGCGUGUCCCGGUGGGGAGGGGGUUUCAGUUGUUGCCAAAGGGGGAAAAGUGACUCAGUUUCUCUCCGUCUCUUUCUCUGCUCAGGAUAUUGGGGUUGAGCUUCCUGGGUCAGAUGCUGUUGCCCCGAUUGUGGUCUGGGAGCCCAGGCUGAGCAGCUGCUGCUCCCCCAGCGGGAUCGGGGCUGGGGAGUGACUGUGAGUGAAGCUUCCUCUGCGCCCAGCCAAGAAGAGGAUUUUCUCCAGCUGUAAUUAGCCCCAUAGGUCAACCCAAGGCUCUGCCCACACCGACAUCUGAGCCAGAGACGCCAGGAAGCAGAAUUCACCAAGCGUUGGAUUGUUCACCCACUAAUAGGGAACGUGAGCUGGGUUUAGACCAUCGUGAGACAGUCGAGAACAUCCAUCUGCGAGGAAAGAGCCGGGGGGAAUUGUGAUGUGACGUGACUGUCCUGUUCUGAAAUGUCCCCUUCUUGCCCUGACAGGCUGCAGUGUCACAUCCCAUCCUCCCAGGGAAGGGAAAUGGCUGCUGUGGGGCCAGCUCAGGUAGGGAUUAUCGGGGAGUUGCUGGUGGGCUCCUGUUGGCAGCAGAAGGGCAGUAAAGCCAUAGGAGGGGCCGGUGACUUUCGAGGAGGUGGCUGUGUAUUUCACCAGGGAAG